GACCAAGUGGCGAAACGCAUCGCGCCCGCACUUCAUGCCAUGUGAAAAGAGUGAUAGCAGGAGGUCCCUGUUCGAACCAGGGCUCGGUCC